rnacentral:misc_RNA from 1 species
AAGUCGUAACAAGGUUUCCGUAGGUGAACCUGCGGAAGGAUCAUUACAAAUCCAUCCACGUCUCUCUUUGAGACCACGUUGAAAUGUUCCCCAGACCAGGAGGGUCUCUCUUUCCUUUCGGGCUGCCAAGAACGCGCGCGCUCUUGCUCUCUCUUCCUCUUCUGGGGUGGGGAGGGCGAGGGUCGGACGCUCCUGGUGCGCCUGCCUGGGAGAGGUCCCCCCUGGGCUGGGCUGUGAAACUAGUGUUACUUUGUUGCCCAAAUGUAUCUUGAUUUCAAUCAAACGAAAACUUGUACAACUUAUAACAAUGGAUCUCUAGGCUCUU